rnacentral:rRNA from 1 species
ACUCCUACGGGAGGCAGCAGUGGGGAAUAUUGCACAAUGGGCGCAAGCCUGAUGCAGCCAUGCCGCGUGUAUGAAGAAGGCCUUCGGGUUGUAAAGUACUUUCAGCAGUGAGGAAGGUGGAUAUGUUAAUAGCAUAUUCUAUUUGUACGUUAGCUGCAGAAGAAGCACCGGCUAACUCCGUGCCAGCAGCCGCGGUAAGUACGGAGGGUGCGAGCGUUAAUCGGAAUUACGUGGCGUAAAGCGCAUGCAGGUGGUUUGUUAAGUCAGAUGUGAAAGCCCGGGGCUCAACCUCGGAAUUGCAUUUGAAACUGGCAAACUAGAGUACUGUAGAGGGGGUAGAAUUUCAGGUGUAGCGGUGAAAUGCGUAGAGAUCUGAAGGAAUACCGGUGGCGAACGGCGGCCCCCGUGGACAGAUACUGACACUCAGAUGCGAAAGCGUGGGAGCAAACGAGGAUUAGAUA